rnacentral:rRNA from 1 species
UAGGGAAUCUUCGGCAAUGGACGAAAGUCUGACCGAGCAACGCCGCGUGAGUGAAGAAGGUUUUCGGAUCGUAAAACUCUGUUGGUAGAGAAGAACGUUGGUGAGAGUGGAAAGCUCAUCAAGUGACGGUAACUACCCAGAAAGGGACGGCUAACUACGUGCCAGCAGCCGCGGUAAUACGUAGGUCCCGAGCGUUGUCCGGAUUUAUUGGGCGUAAAGCGAGCGCAGGUGGUUUAUUAAGUCUGGUGUAAAAGGCAGUGGCUCAACCAUUGUAUGCGUUGGAAACUGGUAGACUUGAGUGCAGGAGAGGAGAGUGGAAUUCCAUGUGUAGCGGUGAAAUGCGUAGAUAUAUGGAGGAACACCGGUGGCGAAAGCGGCUCUCUGGCCUGUAACUGACACUGAGGCUCGAAAGCGUGGGGAGCAAACAGGAUUAGAUACCCUGGUAGUCCACGCCGUAAACGAUGAGUGCUAGAUGUAGGGAGCUAUAAGUUCUCUGUAUCGCAGCUAACGCAAUAAGCACUCCGCCUGGGGAGUACGACCGCAAGGUUGAAAC